rnacentral:rRNA from 1 species
UAGGGAAGAACAAACGUGUAAGUAACUGUGCACGUCUUGACGGUACCUAAUCAGAAAGCCACGGCUAACUACGUGCCAGCAGCCGCGGUAAUA